rnacentral:rRNA from 1 species
GUAUAUUAAAGUUGUUGCGGUAAAAAAGCUCGUAGUUGGAUUUCUGUUGAGGACGACCGGUCCGUACCAUGUACGCGCAUCUGGUUCGGCCUCGGCAUCCUCUCGAUAGACGUUUCUGCGCUUGAUUGCGUGGAGCGGAUUUCGGGACUUUUACUUUGAGGAAAUUAGAGUGUUCACGGCAGGCUAUCGCCAGAAUACAUUAGCAUGGAAUAAUACUAUAGGAUCUCGGUUCUAUUUUGUUGGUUUCUAGACCCGGGGUAAUGAUUAAUAGGGACAAUUGGGGGCAUUUGUAUCAACACGUCAGAGGUGGAAUUCUUGGAUUGUGUUGCGACAAACUACUGCGAAAGCAUUUGCCAAGGAUGUUUUCAUUGAUCAAGAACGAAAGUAAGGGGAUCGAAGACGAUUAGAUACCGUCGUAGUCUUUACCAUAAACUAUGCCGACUAGAGAUGGGGCAUCGUUCACUUACGACUUGCUCCGCAUCUUAUGAGAUAUCAAAGUCUUUGGGUUCCGGGGGGAGUAUGGUCGCAAGUCUGAAACUUAAAGG